rnacentral:rRNA from 1 species
CCUACGGGAGGCAGCAGUGAGGAAUAUUGGUCAAUGGCCGCAGGGCUGAACCAGCCAAGUCGCGUGAGGGAAGACGGCCCUACGGGUUGUAAACCUCUUUUGUCAGGGAGCAAGGUGCAGGUCGGGACCUGCUGUGAGAGUACCUGAAGAAAAAGCAUCGGCUAACUCCGUGCCAGCAGCCGCGGUAAUACGGAGGAUGCGAGCGUUAUCCGGAUUUAUUGGGUUUAAAGGGUGCGCAGGCGGAGGCACAAGUCAGCGGUAAAAUCGCGGGGCUCAACCCCGCUCCGCCGUUGAAACUGUGUCCCUUGAGUGCGCGAAGGGUAGGCGGAAUGCGUGGUGUAGCGGUGAAAUGCAUAGAUAUCACGCAGAACUCCGAUUGCGAAGGCAGCUUACCAAUCUAUAUCUGACGUUGAGGCACGAAAGCGUGGGGAGCAAACAGGAUUAGAUACCCCAGUAGUC